rnacentral:tRNA from 1 species
GUCUAUGUAGUAUACAAAUUACACUGGUCUUGUAAGCCAGAAAUGGGGAUAACACCUCCCCCAAAGACU